AAGGAGUGAUGAUACUGAGAAAAGGUUUCGCUAAAUAAGCUGACACUAUUGUAUGAUGUCACACUUUCUCUUGGCUGUCUGACCAA